CACGUAGGCACCAAGCGUUGUCCGGAUUUAUUGGGCGUAAAGAGCUCGUAGGCGGUUAGUCGCGUCUGCUGUGAAAACUCGGGGCUUAACUCCGGGCCUGCAGUGGGUACGGGCUGACUAGAGUGCGGUAGGGGAGACUGGAAUUCCUGGUGUAGCGGUGAAAUGCGCAGAUAUCAGGAGGAACACCGGUGGCGAAGGCGGGUCUCUGGGCCGUAACUGACGCUGAGGAGCGAAAGCGUGGGGAGCGAACAGG
rnacentral:rRNA from 1 species